CCUACGGGUGGCAGCAGUGAGGAAUAUUGGUCAAUGGGCGCGAGCCUGAACCAGCCAAGUAGCGUGAAGGAUGACUGCCCUACGGGUUGUAAACUUCUUUUAUAAAGGAGUAAAGUGAGGCACGUGUGCCUUUUUGUAUGUACUUUAUGAAUAAGGAUCGGCUAACUCCGUGCCAGCAGCCGCGGUAAUACGGAGGAUCCGAGCGUUUUCCGGAUUUAUUGGGUUUAAAGGGAGCGUAGAUGGGUUGUUAAGGCAAUAGUGAAAGUUUGGGGGUGAAACGUAAAAUGGCAAUUGAUACUGGCAGUCUUGAGUACAGGUGAGGUAGGCGGAAUGCGUGGUGUAGCGGUGAAAUGCUUAGAUAUCACGAAGAACCCCGAUUGCGAAGGCAGCUUACUAACCUGCCACUGACAUUGAUGCUCGAAAGUGUGGGUAUCAAACAGGAUUAGAUACCCGGGUAGUC
rnacentral:rRNA from 1 species